AUGUAUCUUCUAUGGCUUGCACUUUAUGUCCACAUUUACUAUAGUGAUGGACUAUCUAAGGCUCAGCAAAAUUUCUACAAGAAUACAACUUUCGCUGAAAGCCUAUUCUUAUAUUUGUUUCUAUUCUCAACAUUCAUUUUUAUUUGUGUCCUCACUGCGUUCUUCCUUUCUAGGAAUCAGGUCUAUAUUUUUUUUUACCAUUCAAGGCAUAUGUGCACACAGAAGCCGUUUUGCAUGUAUCUGAAUCUUCCUGUCUGGUACUUGUGCUGGGAAGCAAAAUGUGAAAACAAAAACCAAUACAUCCAGAUUGUGCAUUAUUUUGGUGUGUUUUCAGUUUCCAUAGCUUUUCAUAUGAAUGUGAAUAUACAUGCCAUAUUUUCUAUUGCAAGGUGCCAGAGGACAUGUUGCAGAGAGUAUUACCAAUUACAAUUCAAACUUACUGGAGACAGUUACCACUUGCAAUUCACAUUAUUAUGUAUUUGGUUUGCUCACUCUUUAUCCCCUCGUACUUGUUGA
rnacentral:rRNA from 1 species